UACGUAGGGGGCAAGCGUUGUCCGGAAUCAUUGGGCGUAAAGCGCGUGUAGGCGGCCAGAAAAGUCCGCUGUGAAAACUCGAGGCUCAACUUCGAGCUGUCGGUGGAAACUUUCUGGCUAGAGUCCGGAAGAGGAGAAUGGAAUUCCUGGUGUAGCGGUGAAAUGCGCAGAUAUCAGGAAGAACACCCGUGGCGAAGGCGGUUCUCUGGUCCAUUACUGACGCUGAGGUGCGAAAGCGUGGGGAGCAAACAGG
rnacentral:rRNA from 1 species